GAUGAACGCUGGCGGCGUGCCUAAUACAUGCAAGUCGAGCGAACAGACGAGGAGCUUGCUCCUCUGACGUUAGCGGCGGACGGGUGAGUAACACGUGGAUAACCUACCUAUAAGACUGGGAUAACUUCGGGAAACCGGAGCUAAUACCGGAUAAUAUAUUGAACCGCAUGGUUCAAUAGUGAAAGACGGUUUUGCUGUCACUUAUAGAUGGAUCCGCGCCGCAUUAGCUAGUUGGUAAGGUAACGGCUUACCAAGGCAACGAUGCGUAGCCGACCUGAGAGGGUGAUCGGCCACACUGGAACUGAGACACGGUCCAGACUCCUACGGGAGGCAGCAGUAGGGAAUCUUCCGCAAAGGGCGAAAGCUUGACGGAGCAACGCCGCGUGAGAGAUGAAGGUCUUCGGAUCGUAAAACUCUGUUAUUAGGGAAGAACAAAUGUGUAAGUAACUAUGCACGUCUUGACGGUACCUAAUCAGAAAGCCACGGCUAACUACGUG
rnacentral:rRNA from 1 species